AUUGAACGCUGGCGGCAUGCCUAACACAUGCAAGUCGAGCGAGCGGCGGACGGGCGAGUAAUGUCGUGGAACCUGCCUGAUGGAGGUGGAUAACUAGUGGAAACGGUAGCUAAUACCGCAUACCAUGCGAUUUCCCCAGAUGUGAUUAGCUGGUGGGGGGGGUAACGGCUCACUUAGGCGAUGAUCCCCAGCUGGUCGGAGAGGAUGACCAGCAACACUGGAACGGAGACACGGUCCAGACUCCUACGGGAGGCAGCAGUGGGGAAUAUUGCACAAUGGGCGAAAGCCGGAUGCAGCAAUGCGGCGGGUGUGAAGAAGGUCUUCGGGUUGUAAAGCACUUUCGGCAGGGAGGCGUUACCCACAGAAAAAGCAACGGCUAACUCCGUGCCAGCAGCCGCGGUAAUAC
rnacentral:rRNA from 1 species